GGGAUUCGAUACUCGGAAUGUAAAUUUGAGUUAUAAAACUAUUCAACGACAGCGUAUAAUUCAUCGGAAAGAAAUUGCUAAAGGCUUAAAAGAAGACUUAAAAUUCAAUGACAAUUAUGUGGUCCAUUGGGAUGGUAAACUGCUAAGUGAUAUUGUUGGGACAGAAACAGUAGAUAGGCUUCCGGUGCUUUUAACAUCGUCUGGCAGUGAACAGCUAUUGGGUAUUCCAAAAUUAAUUCAGGAUCUGGGAUUGAGCAAGCUUUAGCUGUAUACUCAACUAUGGAGCAAUGGGGUGUCAGUAAUUACAUAAAAGCGAUAUGCUUUGAUACUGCAGCAACCAAUACGGGAAUUCAUCAUGGCGCUGGCGUAGAGCUUGAGAAAAUUCUGAAACGAAAGCUUAUAUGGUUACCCUGUCGUCAUCAUGUAAUUGAACUUGUCAUAAAAGGCGUUUUUGAAGCUUACUGGCCAGUACAAUCAGGUCCGAACGUUCCAUUUUUAAUCGAUUUAAAAUCGGUUGGAAUAAAAUCAACACAUCCAAAUAUAACGCUGGCAUCAACGAUAAGAUAGUGGCUAAUAUACUAUUAAACAAAAAAGAUGAACUAUUAAGUUUUAUCGAUAAUUAUUCGCAGAAAUUUCUUCCAAGAAAUGACUAUCGAGAAUUUUUGGAGUUAUCAUCUAUUUUCUUGGGAGCUACGCCAAAGGAUAAUUACACUUUUAAAUGUCCGGGAGCAAUGAGUCAUGCUCGUUGGAUGUCGAAGGCGAUUUAUUGUUUGAAAAUAUUUAUUUUUCGAACAGAGUUUAAGAUUACACCUAAAGAGUUAAAUAAUCUUCGUCAUAUUUGUAUUUUCAUAGUUACAACUUAUAUAAAAGCUUGGUUUACUUCAUCCUCGGCAAUUUUGGCUCCAAAUAAUGAUUUGACUUUGAUGCAACAAUUGAUAUUAUAUAACAAAAUAAACUCGACUGUAUCGCAAGCUGCUCUCAAGAAAAUGGUGAGACAUUUAUGGUAUUUGAGUGAUCAAUUAGCCAUAAUGUCUCUAUUUGAUGAUUCUAUUGACCUGACUGUGAAGAAAAAAAUGAUUGAAAAUCUAAUAAAUAAUAAAUCAUCAAAUACUAAAACCAGAAAAUAUGAAGUAGCAAGCGAUUCAGAUGAAUUGCUAGAAAAGAUAUCAGUGACUUCAUUUCUGUAGAAUCGCUCACCAUAUUCAAAGAAUUUGAUUUGCCGUAUGAUUUUAUCGAUGAAGACAUAAGCAAUUGGUCCAAUAAUGAUAGUUUUCAAGAGUGUAAGGAAUUUUUUGGAAAAUUAGCUGUCGUCAAUGAUGUUGCAGAACGUGGUGUAUCAUUAAUUGAAGAUUACAAUAAGUGUCUCACUAAAAACGAAGAACAACUUCAGUAUUUGUUGUUAGCCGUUAGUGAACACCGGAAAAAUACCCAAAUUGUAAUAAAAGUAAUUUGAUUGAAUAAUUAUUUUUUCAACUGAUCAUUUGCCAUGAUUUGAUAACAAUUAAAGAAUUUUUUUUGUAAAAUAUAAAUUAUAAGUGAAAAUAAAAUG
rnacentral:lncRNA from 1 species